ensembl:snoRNA
GCAAGUGAUGAUCUACUUUAUUCUUCACUUUGACCUGAUAAAUAGUGAUGAUUUAUUUCAGCCUGAGC